rnacentral:sRNA from 1 species
UCGACUCGAGCGAAGCGAGAGAACGUUGCGUCAGCAACGGCCCGCAGGGCGAGCCACGAAGUGGUGAGUCAUCCUCUAUCACCGACCA